CAAAUUCCAGGCGUAAUUCUCAGGGGAAAAAAAAUGCUUCGUCUUUUGCUUCAAGCCGUUGCAGACGCCAAUUUUAUUUCAUGGGGAAGAUUGUCUUCGUUUGGGUUCGUAGCGGGGAAGAUUGUUAUUGUACCCUCAUUGUCUAUUUGUCUUUUGGAAUCUGGAUUCUGGUAAUUGACUAUCAAGUUUGGGGCUACCUAUUACAAACUCUCAAACUCUCAAUCUGCAAUUGCUUAUAGAAUCAUGUUGACAAUGCCGGUUACUAUUGCGUGAGCUUCUCAAAGUUAAAGUUGUUGAAAACAUAUUUGAGAUCGUCGAUUGGCAUCUCAAACUCUCAAUCUGCAAUUGCUUAUAGAAUCAUGUUGACAAUGCCGGUUACUGUUGCGUGAGCUUCUCAAAGUUAAAGUUGUUGAAAACAUAUUUGAGAUCGUCGAUGUGUCAAAAGAGAUUGAAUGGCUUGGCAAUAUUAUUGAUAGAAAAAGAGAGUUUAGAUAACAUAGAUUUGGACGAUGUUGUAGAUGAUUUUGCAAGUAAAAACGCUAGACGAAGUCAUUUUUAUAAGUAAUAAAAUAUUUGUAUUUUUUAAUAUAUUGCGCACAAUAAUAUAUUGAGGGCCCAUUUUUUUAGUUUCGCCCAGGGACCCAUUUUUGCCAGGACCG